ACGGCAGCACGGGAGCAAUCCUGGUGGCGAGUGGCGAACGGGUGAGUAAUACAUCGGAACGUGCCCUGUCGUGGGGGAUAACUAGUCGAAAGAUUAGCUAAUACCGCAUACGACCUGAGGGUGAAAGCGGGGGACCGCAAGGCCUCGCGCGAUAGGAGCGGCCGAUGUCUGAUUAGCUAGUUGGUGGGGUAAAGGCCCACCAAGGCGACGAUCAGUAGCUGGUCUGAGAGGACGAUCAGCCACACUGGGACUGAGACACGGCCCAGACUCCUACGGGAGGCAGCAGUGGGGAAUUUUGGACAAUGGGGGCAACCCUGAUCCAGCAAUGCCGCGUGUGUGAAGAAGGCCUUCGGGUUGUAAAGCACUUUUGUCCGGAAAGAAAUCCCCUGCUCUAAUACAGCGGGGGGAUGACGGUACCGGAAGAAUAAGCACCGGCUAACUACGUGCCAGCAGCCGCGGUAAUACGUAGGGUGCGAGCGUUAAUCGGAAUUACUGGGCGUAAAGCGUGCGCAGGCGGUUUUGUAAGACAGGCGUGAAAUCCCCGAGCUCAACUUGGGAAUGGCGCUUGUGACUGCAAGGCUAGAGUAUGUCAGAGGGGGGUAGAAUUCCACGUGUAGCAGUGAAAUGCGUAGAGAUGUGGAGGAAUACCGAUGGCGAAGGCAGCCCCCUGGGACGUCACUGACGCUCAUGCACGA
rnacentral:rRNA from 1 species